rnacentral:lncRNA from 1 species
UACGGCCCGACCUCACCCCCCGACCCCACCUCCCGAGAGCGGGACCGAUACCGUCCUACCCGACAAUCCUCUCCCGGCGCCCCCAUCCGCUGCCCCUACUCGCGACCCACUCUUGGGGACCCCCCUACUACAACCCCCCUUUGGGCCUCUCCUCACUCUGAUCCCUCCCUUUGGGGUCUUCUUUUGAGGGCUGGUCUCCUCCUUUCCUCUGUCCCCCUUUAUUGCCCCCCGGGGCAGGUACUGGCCCUCCUCGUGGUGUCUGGGGAAUUGCGUGCGAUACUGGAAAUGGAGCGCCGGGAUUUGGGGCACACUGGGAAUGAAGGGCACUGGGAGAGAAUGGGGACACUGGGGACAAGUGGGACACCAAAUACUGGUCGGGGGGACAGGUUGGGGGGAUACACCAGAGAUAGGAGUAGAUACACUGGGGACAGCGGGGACAAUGGGAAUAGGUUUGGGGACCCUGGGAAUUGGUGGGGGUCACACUGGGAAUGGGUUGUGGGGACACUGGAAAUUGGAGAACAUAUGGGGUCACCACUCUUCCCUCUUACCAUGGAUCUGGGGACACAGUCCUGACUCUGCCCCCUGUCCCCAGAACCCUCCGGGCCCCUUCCUGAGUCCUGGACUUUGCUCCUUGCCCCUUGGCGAUAAGGCCAGAGGAAAAUUCCAUCCUGGGGAGGGGAGAGAGAGGAGCUGGGAGAGUCUAAUCCCGGGAGAGCUUGAUCCAGGUGAUCCUGAUCCCAGGAAAAGCUUCUCCUGGGAGCACCUAAUUCUGAGACCACCUGAUCCCAGGAUCACCUCAUCCCAGGAGAACCUGGUCUUGGCAGCACCUGAUCCUGGAAAAUUCCAGCUGGCAGAGAAUUCUGGAAUCACCUUAUUCCAGGAGAAUUUGAUCCUGAGAGAACCUUAUCCAAAGAGCACAUCCUUCCAGGGAGAAGCUCAUCCAGGGAGAUCCCAGGAGAUCCUUAUUCCACAAUCACCCCAUUCUGGGACCACUUUAUCCAAGGAGAACCUUGCCCCAGGAUCACUUUAUCCCAGGAUUAUCUCCUUCUAGGAGAAGCUCAUCCUGGGACCCCCCCAUCCCAAUACCUUCUGCUAAUCUCAGGGCCAGGGUCCCUCCUGGUGCAUUUCAGGGUGUCCCUGUGUUCUCCUGCCAUGGCUGAGCCCUCUGGGAUUGGGGACAGCAUCCCAUUGGAUGAUCCUGGUCUGGACAUUGCCGCUGGGGAGGAAUUCCUGCAGGAAGUGUUCCAGAUCCUGUUGGAGGAGGGCGUGCGGAAAAGCAUGGACGUGACACAGAAGGUUGGGAUACCGGAGCACUCGGGGGGCUGGGGUCCCCAAUCCCACCCCAUCACAUUCCCAUUUCCAGUCCCAAUCCCAUUCCCAGUCCCCACAGGUGUGUGCCUGGAACGAGCCCCCUGGGAGGGGGUGGGGUCCUCAAUCCUUCCUUAUUGCUUGUCCUAUUCACAGUCAUUCCCCGUCCCAGUCCCAAUCCCAUUCUCAUUACCGGUCAUUUCCAAUCCAAUUCCCAGUCAUUCCCAGGCAUGUGACUGGAAGCAGACAUGGAAGGGGGUAGGGGUCACAACAUUGCUCCUUUCCCAUUCCCAUUCUGAAUCCCAGUUCCAGUCCCAUUCCCAGUCCUGUUCCUAACAGAAGUCCCA